GCAAAAGCAUUGAUGGGAAGAGUAGUAAAUUAAGGUUUUUAAAGAGAGCUGAUUUUGGUGAGAUUCAGCAUUACUUAGAUUUAUGAAUAUGGACCCUGAGCUUAAUACUUGAAUUAUAGUAGGGUAUUACGUAGAGCAGACGUUACAGUGCAAGGUGAUAAAUAACUAUAAGUUAGAGUCACUUAGUGAGAUUUUCAUUGUGAGAUGAAAGUGAAUUAGAGUGGUAAAGCGAAAUCACGCCUCUAAA
rnacentral:ncRNA from 1 species